GCUCAACCGGGGAGGGUCAUUGGAAACUGGGAAACUUGAGUGCAGAAGAGGAGAGUGGAAUUCCACGUGUAGCGGUGAAAUGCGUAGAGAUGUGGAGGAACACCAGUGGCGAAGGCGACUCUCUGGUCUGUAACUGACGCUGAGGAGCGAAAGCGUGGGGAGCGAACAGGAUUAGAUACCCUGGUAGUCCACGCCGUAAACGAUGAGUGCUAAGUGUUAGGGGGUUUCCGCCCCUUAGUGCUGCAGCUAACGCAUUAAGCACUCCGCCUGGGGAGUACGGUCGCAAGACUGAAACUCAAAGGAAUUGACGGGGGCCCGCACAAGCGGUGGAGCAUGUGGUUUAAUUCGAAGCAACGCGAAGAACCUUACCAGGUCUUGACAUCCUCUGACAACCCUAGAGAUAGGGCUUUCCCUUCGGGGACAGAGUGACAGGUGGUGCAUGGUUGUCGUCAGCUCGUGUCGUGAGAUGUUGGGUUAAGUCCCGCAACGAGCGCAACCCUUGAUCUUAGUUGCCAGCAUUCAGUUGGGCACUCUAAGGUGACUGCCGGUGACAAACCGGAGGAAGGUGGGGAUGACGUCAAAUCAUCUUGCCCCUUAUGACCUGGGCUACACACGUGCUACAAUGGACAGAACAAAG
rnacentral:rRNA from 1 species